rnacentral:tRNA from 1 species
CGACGUGUAGCUCAGCAGUAGAGCACCAGGCUUCUUACCUGGGGGGCGCGGGGGCAGGACCCGCCACGUCGG